rnacentral:rRNA from 1 species
UACGUAGGUGGCAAGCGUUGUCCGGAAUUAUUGGGCGUAAAGCGCGCGCAGGCGGUCCUUUAAGUCUGAUGUGAAAGCCCACGGCUCAACCGUGGAAGGUCAUUGGAAACUGGAGGACUUGAGUACAGAAGAGGAAAGCGGAAUUCCACGUGUAGCGGUGAAAUGCGUAGAGAUGUGGAGGAACACCAGUGGCGAAGGCGGCUUUCUGGUCUGUAACUGACGCUGAGGCGCGAAAGCCAGGGGAGCAAACGGG